rnacentral:rRNA from 1 species
AUAUUAAAGUUGUUGCAGUUAAAAAGCUCGUAGUUGAAUUUCGGGAUUGACACAUCGGUCGUGCCUUAAGGGGUAUGAACUGGUGUAGUCAAUUUCUCACCUUCUGGAGAACCGCGAUGUCCUUAAUUGGGUGCCGCGAGGAACCAGGACCUUUACUUUGAAAAAAUUAGAGUGUUUAAAGCAGGCAUUUUUGCUUGAAUACAUUAGCAUGGAAUAAUAAAAUAGGACGGCAUGAUUCUAUUUUGUUGGUUUCUAGGAUCACCGUAAUGAUUAAUAGGGAUAGUUGGGGGCAUUAGUAUUCAAUUGUCAGAGGUGAAAUUCUUGGAUUUAUUGAAGACUAACUACUGCGAAAGCAUUUGCCAAGGAUGUUUUCAUUAAUCAAGAACGAAAGUUAGGGGAUCGAAGACGAUCAGAUACCGUCGUAGUCUUAACCAUAAACUAUGCCGACUAGGAAUCAGACGAUGUUAAUUUUUUAAUGACUCGUUUGGCAC